UAUCCAAAAAAAACGCAAUAUUAUCUCAAAAUACUGUAUUACUAGCAGUAAUUGCUAUAUAAAUACUAGCUCAAAAUUCAAAACUAGGAACCAAAAUGGCGGAAAUUGAUCAGGUGAUCAAUAUUGCCCAAUCAACGUAAGCUAAACGUAUAACAAUAGAUGUUCCAACUCUUACAAAUAGAGGGCUAUGGUAGCUAUACACUUCGUAAAUAUUGCUCACAUCCGCAUUUGAGUAAAUAACGAUAUCAAUAAAGAGUAGGAGAGCGGUUUCUGUGUACUUGAAUAAAGCAGAUUAAUGUAACAGCUGAAACGUGCGUGUGACAUUGCGUGGGCAAGAUACAUUAAAAUUGCAUAGACAAGGAUAUUGGUCUUUAGCGUAGCUACACACUUCGUUAAAAUUGCUCACAUCCGCAUUUGUGGUAGCUUUCGAAUGAAAGGAGGAAGGUAUUACACGCUUUCUCAUAACAUUGUUAUUGAAACAUUGUGAAAGCUGGAAUACAAUAUGACCUUAAUGACCAUGAGAUUCGAUCUGUAGCAGUACUAGUGGGAAGUAUCUUUGCUUGUUUGAUACAAGUGGCGUAGCUAGCGAAAAACAUUUGGUCGGGCUGACGAGGCGCCACCAUGGUUGGCACCGAGCGAGAAAAUUUUCCGAAUUUAGACUCCCUUGAACGUCGGAAACGGCUAUCUUAGAAAGCAAAUGCGUGAUAUUUAUGCAGGAAAUAGAACCAUUUUGGUUAAUUUAAAUUGCCGAAGGAUCUUAUAGUAAAGCAGAGAAAUAGUUCAAAA